UACAGGGGGGGCAAGCGUUGUUCGGAAUUACUGGGCGUAAAGGGCUCGUAGGUGGCCAACUAAGUCGGACGUGAAAUCCCUCAGCUUAACUGGGGAACUGCAUCCGAUACUGGAUGGCUUGAGUUUGGGAGAGGGAUGCGGAAUUCCAGGUGUAGCGGUGAAAUGCGUAGAUAUCUGGAGGAACACCGGUGGCGAAGGCGGCAUCCUGGACCAAUACUGACGCUGAGGAGCGAAAGCCAGGGGAGCAAACGGG
rnacentral:rRNA from 1 species